rnacentral:lncRNA from 1 species
AUGGUUGGCCUCAUGAGUUCGGCUUCAUGGAAUGGUUAUGAUUGUUGUGGCGGUUGCAUUUGUAUCCUGCAAAUGAACUGUAACACCCCAAAAAUAUUAAAUCAUAAUUAACCAAGGUUAACUAACUUAGUUAAGUUAACUAAUAUAUUAUGAUUAAUAAAAAAUAUUUAGUUAAAAAGAAUGGAGGUACUAAUAUUGUAAGUAGAGCAAACUAAUGAAUUUAUAUAACAAAGAAAUUAAAAACACAACACACUGAAGUGUGUGUGUGUGUGCGACCAAGGGUGAGCAAGAACACCCAAACCCAAAAUUCAGAAAAAAAUGAUCAAUUGAAGGGAAAAUUUAGUCCAAAAUUCGUGUUCGAAUCAAGAAUAUCGAACAUCCCUACUUGUCUAACACUAAGUAACUCGGGUGAAGCUUCGGGAAGUCAAGCGGGAGCGAACACACGUUUAAAGGAGAAACUUUAAAGGUACGUAGCUUUAUGCUUCGUGGAAUUUCUUAGUUUGAAUUGUAAUAGCAUAUGAUCGAUUAUUAUAGAUUAGUCGUAAAAUUCGGUUUGUACACAUGUGAUGCAUUUCGUAUUGAUGAACCGGAAAGUUAAAUAAUGAAUUAACGAAAGUUUGAAUGUUUGAAAGUGAUGGAUUUCACUAAAAUAUUCAAACGGGUCAAAAUGAUAGAAAGAUAAAAGUUUGGUUGUAUAAAUGUGAUGGAUUUCGCUAAGUUAACCAAACGGGUCAAAAUGAUAGAAAGAUAAAAGUUUGGUUGUAUAAAAGCGAGGAUUUCGGUAACUUAACCAAACAGGUCAAAAUGAUAGAAAGAUAAAAGUUUGGUUGUAUAAAAGCGAUCCUUUUCAAUUACCAAGGAACCUAUCAAAUUUAAGUUGACAUGUAACGUUCACUACCAGAAAAAAAAAGUAUCAUCAACGAAAGUUAUCUGUUGGUAAUUACUAAAUGCUCUGCGAUGAAAACCAGUAAAAAAUAAAGGGUAAAUUACACUUUUCGUCCUUUAUGUUUGUAUCAGAUUGCAAUAGAUACCCUUUAAAUUUAAUAAUGACAAUCACAAUCCUUUAUUUGGAAAACUCAUUACACCUUUCGAUUUCUCCUUGAAUUUACUGAUUUUGCUAAGUUAGAGGGUUUCCCCUCUUUUCUCCUUGUUCCAGUCGACCCACACACACACACCAGUGUGUGUGUUUGGGUUAUAAUUUUUGUUUUUAUAGUUAAUCUUUCCAUCCAUCCUAAUUUGGCCCCUCAUGUUUUGGUAUUUGUAUUUUUAUGGGCAAUUUCCAUUCUCUAAGUUAAGAUUUUACUUACACUUCUAACUAGGUUCAUAAUCCUAGUUACCAUUUUAAUAACGAUUAUGUUUAUAAAUACUUUAUCUUUAACGUAUUCGCAUAUAUAAAGACUUUUGGGGGAUAACUUACUUGUAGCAUACUAUACAAUUAUAAAGAUGGGCAUAAUUAUAAUUUGGGGCAUUACAUAAAUGUAGGAUGAAUCAACUGGUUCAAUUGAUGCGAAGACUAAUUACUCGGAACCGAACUUUUGUCACCAUGUCAUUUUUCAAAAAUUGAAAAUGUUGAUAGUAAUCACAUGAGUUAGAAGUGUGAGUUCCAUCGAGGCAUCCCUUUAAGUGUGUCUAGAGUUAAUGAAAGUAAAACCGAUAUCAUACACAAAGCUAUUUGUAUUGUCACCAAUGACAAGGAAGAAAAUAUCGGAUCGUGUGAUUUAUUAUUAUAAAACUUGGCAAUUAUGGCUAAAACGAUCGCAAAAAUAGUGACCAAUAUGCAACCAAAUUCAUAAUAGUCAAAAUAUUAGCCACCACUCGCAAUCCAGUCGCAGAUUUUGUGACCGUCCAAUUUUGGUCGCAAAUCUAUGACAAUAAAACUUAAAGUUACAUACUUAAAACUAAAUUUAAAUACAAGCUAAAAAUUGUGAUCGUCUAAAUCUGGUCACAAAGAAGAAUAAAAUUAGUUAAGCAAAACUGAAUUGAUAGCAUCGGCAUAAAAAAUGUGACCACCUAAAAUCUGUUUCAAAUCAGUGAAUAACUCUAAAUUAUAUUUAAAUAAUAGUUGCAAACACAAAUCAUUGAUGCUCAACUAUCGUCAGUAUUGGUCAAUUAUGGUGAUGUCAUCUUGGAUUUUUAAUGUUUAAUUUAGGCCAAUGAUGAUACUUUAUUGUCAAAAGUGUCGAAUGAUUGUGGAUUAGGGGGGAUUAGGGUCAUUGAUGCUCAAUUAUCGUCAAUAACAGUCAAAUUAUGGGUAUGAUUAUCAACUAACGUGAUGAAUGUUCAAAUGCGGCAAGAGUUAUAAUUUAGUGCCAAUUAGGUUGAAUGGCAGUGAAUUAAGGUCGUUAAUGCUCAAUUAUUGUCAUUGACUUCAUGUAUGGUGAUUGAUAGUCCACAAGGGUGAUUGAUGAUACUUCAUGUUCAAUUAGUCCGAAUAGUAGUGAAUUAGGUUCGUUAAUGCUUAAUUGUCUUCAAUAAUGGUCAAUAACGGUGGUUAAUGGUCAAUUAGAAUGAUCACUAAUCACCAUAAUUAACAAAUGAUGAUGAAUCAGAGUAAUCUAUGCUCAAGUGUGGUCAUUGAAGGUUUAUUAGACCAUGCGUAGUCGUUGGGUGAAUAAUGCCCCACCCUAGGGCGUUUUGCGCCAUGUGGCAGCCCAGUCAGCAAUGAGGGAUUAUUAAGCGUUUUUACAAAAGGGGUGUAGUGGGGAUGUAGGGAUUGUACGGCAUUAUGUU